rnacentral:rRNA from 1 species
UACGGAGGGUGCAAGCGUUAUCCGGAUUCACUGGGUUUAAAGGGUGCGUAGGCGGCCAACUAAGUCAGACGUGAAAUCCCUCGGCUCAACCGGGGAACUGCGUCUGAUACUGGAUGGCUUGAAUUCGGGAGAGGGAUGCGGAAUUCCAGGUGUAGCGGUGAAAUGCGCAGAUAUCAGGAGGAACACCGGUGGCGAAGGCGGGUCUCUGGGCAACUACUGACGCUGAGGAGCGAAAGCGUGGGGAGCGAACAGG